rnacentral:rRNA from 1 species
CCCAGACUCCUACGGGAGGCAGCAGUGAGGAAUAUUGGUCAAUGGGCGAGAGCCUGGACCAGCCAAGUCGCGUGAGGGAGUACUGCCCUAUGGGUUGUAAACCUCUUUUGUCGGGGAGCAAAAGCCGGACGUGUCCGUCUGUGAGAGUACCCGAAGAAAAAGCAUCGGCUAACUCCGUGCCAGUAGCCGCGGUAAUACGGAGGAUGCGAGCGUUAUCCGGAUUUAUUGGAUUUAAAGGGUGCGCAGGCGGAUUUUUAAGUCAGCGGUCAAAUCGUGGGGCUCAACCCCAUUCAGCCGUUGAAACUGGGGAUCUAGAGUGUGCGAGAGGUAUGCGGAAUGCGUGGUGUAGCGGUGAAAUGCUUAGAUAUUGCGCAGAACUCCGAUUGCGAAGGCAGCAUACCGGCGGCGAUCUGACGCUGAGGCACGAAAGCGUGGGUAUCGAACAGGAUUAGAUACCCCGGUA